GUGUCAGCAGCCGCGGUAAUACCAGCUCUCCGAGUGGUGGGGAUGAUUAUUGGGCCUAAAGCAUCCGUAGCCGGCUGGACAAGUCCCCUGUUAAAUCCAACGAUCCAAUCGUUGGUCUGCGGGGGAUACUGUCCGGCUUGGGGGCGGGAGAGGCCGCCGGUAUUUCCGGGGUAGGGGUGAAAUCCUAUAAUCCCGGGAGGACCACCAGUGGCGAAGGCUGUCGGCUAGAACGCGCCCGACGGUGAGGGAUGAAAGCUGGGGGAGCGAACCGGAUUAGAUACCCGGGUAGUCCCAGCUGUAAACGAUGCAGGCUAGGUGUUAGGGCGGCUACGUGCCGCUCUAGUGCCGCAGGGAAGCCGUUAAGCCUGCCGCCUGGGGAGUACGGUCGCAAGGCUGAAACUCAAAUGAAUUGACGGGG
rnacentral:rRNA from 1 species